GCACCUCGAUGUCGGCUCAUCACAUCCUGGGGCUGAAGCCGGUCCCAAGGGUAUGGCUGUUCGCCAUUUAAAGUGGUACGCGAGCUGGGUUUAGAACGUCGUGAGACAGUUCGGUCCCUAUCUGCCGUGGACGUUGGAAAAUUGAGAAGAGCUGCUCCUAGUACGAGAGGACCGGAGUGGACGAACCUCUGGUGUUCGGGUUGUCAUGCCAAUGGCAUUGCCCGGUAGCUAUGUUCGGACAGGAUAACCGCUGAAGGCAUCUAAGCGGGAAGCCCCCUUCAAGAUAAGUUUUCCCUGAUUCCUUGAGAAUCCUAAAGGGCCCUUAAAGACUAUGAGGUUGAUAGGCUGGGUGUGUAAGCGUUGUGAGGCGUUGAGCUAACCAGUACUAAUUGCCCGUGAGGCUUGACUAUAUAACGCCAAAG
rnacentral:rRNA from 1 species